AUGCCACGAUGAUGACAUUUUCUCAACAACUCCUUAAACCUCUCCCAUGCCUCAUAUAAAGAUUCUUCAUCAAUUUGCUAAAAUUAAGUAAUCUCAUUGCGUAGCUU